rnacentral:rRNA from 1 species
UGGGGAAUAUUGCACAAUGGAGGGAACUCUGAUGCAGCGACGCCGCGUGAACGAAGAAGGCUUUCGAGUCGUAAAGUUCGUUUAUAUGGGAAGAUAAUGACGGUACCAUAAGAAAAAGCCCCGGCCAACUACGUGCCAGCAGCCGCGGUAAUACGUAGGGGGCUAGCGUUGUCCGGAAUCACUGGGCGUAAAGGGUUCGCAGGCGGAAAUGCAAGUCAGGUGUAAAAGGCAGUAGCUUAACUACUGUAAGCAUUUGAAACUGCAUAUCUUGAGAAGAGUAGAGGUAAGUGGAAUUUUUAGUGUAGCGGUGAAAUGCGUAGAUAUUAAAAAGAAUACCGGUGGCGAAGGCGACUUACUGGGCUCAUUCUGACGCUGAGGAACGAAAGCGUGGGUAGCAAACAGG